CUUGCUGGAUAUGAAAGUGGCGCACGGGUGCGUAACGCGUAUGCAACCUACCUUUAUCUGGGGGAUAGCCCGGAGAAAUCCGGAUUAAUACCGCAUAAAAUCACAGGAUGGCAUUAUCCAAUGAUCAAACAUUUAUGGGAUGAAGAUGGGCAUGCGUGUCAUUAGCUAGUUGGCGGGGUAACGGCCCACCAAGGCGACGAUGACUAGGGGAUCUGAGAGGAUGGCCCCCCACACUGGUACUGAGACACGGACCAGACUCCUACGGGAGGCAGCAGUAAGGAAUAUUGGUCAAUGGAGGCAACUCUGAACCAGCCAUGCCGCGUGCAGGAAGACUGCCCUAUGGGUUGUAAACUGCUUUUAUCCGGGAAUAAACCUGCUUACGUGUAAGUAGCUGAAUGUACCGGAAGAAUAAGGAUCGGCUAACUCCGUGCCAGCAGCCGCGGUAAUACGGAGGAUCCAAGCGUUAUCCGGAUUUAUUGGGUUUAAAGGGUGCGUAGGCGGCCUGUUAAGUCAGGGGUGAAAGACGGUAGCUCAACUAUCGCAGUGCCCUUGAUACUGAUGGGCUUGAAUGGACUAGAGGUAGGCGGAAUGAGACAAGUAGCGGUGAAAUGCAUAGAUAUGUCUCAGAACACCGAUUGCGAAGGCAGCUUACUAUGGUCUUAUUGACGCUGAGGCACGAAAGCGUGGGGAUCAAACAGGAUUAGAUACCCUGGUAGUCCACGCCCUAAACGAUGAACACUCGCUGUUGGCGAUACACAGUCAGCGGCUAAGCGAAAGCGUUAAGUGUUCCACCUGGGGAGUACGCUCGCAA
rnacentral:rRNA from 1 species